ACUUGCAAAAACUUUGUCAUUUUAUUUGUGUAAAAAAUGGAAGAUACGAAGUCGUUAUUAAUGAUGGUGUUGCACAAGAUUUUCCAGAAUCAACCAAAAACAAUUGAGAAUAUGUUUCAAUUAAUACACAACUUCAACAACGGAAAAAUCGAGAAAAAACAUUACGAAAAGACACUGAAAACAAUCUGCGAUCUGAUGAACGAUGAAUUGCCAUCACCCAUAUUAGUUUAUAUAUUAACUUUAGUUGACAUGCCCCAAGAUUUUGACUCAACUUCCCCUAUUAUAGAAAAAAUGAAGAAAACGCAUGAUUUUCUCCCGGAAAUCAACGUUAGACCCCAUUUAUUGGAAUACUUGAACAACAUGAAGCCACCCCACUAUAAUACAAAAAAUCGCAACAACGGGGUAGAAGUUCCAGAAAAAAGUAAAAUUCCCGAAUUUUCCGUCCCAGAAUCGAAAAAUACCAACAUCGAAGAGAAAAAAGACGCGCUUUGCUUUCUAAAACCUGCUAAAAUAGGGAAAAGGACGUGUCGAAGACACGUUUCUAAAAUAACAGGUUCGCCGAAGUGUUUAAUAGACAUUUGUGCCGUUUUCGUCGUCGCAAAUGAAAGCGCCUUGAAAGAAAUGUACAAGAAAAAACAAGUUUCGGCUUGGCGUUUGAUAAACAGCAAUGUUUUUUGCGGGAGCAAACUUAGCCAAUGCUACGACGUUGUAAAAGAUUUAAACAGAAAAACUAAGUGGUUGCGAGAAAUAGAGUCAGAGAAUAUUUCGACAGAGUUAUUUACAGAGGAAUACAAGAACAGCAACGUGUUUUUGCAAGAAAAUCAUCUGCUGUGUAAAUUAAAAACAGACCCUUUCAUUUUAUCCGAACAAACUGAGAAAACUAUAGACACAUUGU